rnacentral:sRNA from 1 species
UUACAUCUAGAAUUUAUACCCCUAAACUCCCUAGCUAUUUUUGGGUAGUACCCACUGGGUGCUGCUCUUUUUUU